UACAGAGGCCCCAAGCGUUACUGAGAAUCACUGGGUUUAAAGGGUGCGUAGGUGGCGCGUUAAGUCCGUUGUGAAAGCCCUGGGCUCAACCCAGGAACUGCUUCGGAUACUGGCGCGCUUGAGGCUAGUAGGGGUCACUGGAACUGACGGUGGAGCGGUGAAAUGCGUAGAUAUCGUCAGGAACGCCAAUGGUGAAGACAGGUGACUUGGCUAGUUCUGACACUGAGGCACGAAAGCGUGGGGAGCGAA
rnacentral:rRNA from 1 species